rnacentral:rRNA from 1 species
UACGGAGGGGGCUAGCGUUGUUCGGAAUUACUGGGCGUAAAGCGCACGUAGGCGGCUUUGCAAGUUAGAGGUGAAAGCCCGGGGCUCAACUCCGGAAUUGCCUUUAAAACUGCAUCGCUAGAAUUGUGGAGAGUAAGUGGAAUUCCGAGUGUAGAGGUGAAAUUCGAUAGAUAUUCGGAAGAACACCAGUGGCGAAGGCGACUUACUGGACACAUAUUGACGCUGAGGUGCGAAAGCGUGGGGAGCAAACAGGG